AACGAACGCUGGCGGCAUGCCUAACACAUGCAAGUCGAACGAGAAAACUACCUUCGGGUGGUGAGUAGAGUGGCGCACGGGUGAGUAACGCGUGGGUAAUUUACCUUUUGGUGGGGGAUAACAGUUCGAAAGGACUGCUAAUACCGCAUAAGUUUGUCUGCUCUUCGGGGCGGAUGAGGAAAGGGGCUCCGGUCCCGCCGAUAGAUGAGCCCGCGUCCUAUUAGCUUGUUGGUGGGGUAAUGGCCUACCAAGGCAUCGAUAGGUAGCUGGUCUGAGAGGAUGAUCAGCCACCUGGAACUGAAACACGGUCCAG
rnacentral:rRNA from 1 species